CACACAUAAACUAAUAUAAAGAAAGCAGAGAUGCGCGAUAAAUAAGUCGAGUCUACGAAACGGGAAGUUGAGUUGAAAUAGGGACUCCCCAAAAUAUGCCCAGGGGGGGGGGGGGGGGGGGGGGGGGAUGCAGGGUGUGCGCCCACAGCGGCCGAGGGUCCACUUUUGGUUCCCAAUUGACGUGCUAUUUGUAGACAAAACUAUAAAGCAUAAGCUAGAUAACCCUGGUACGUAGCCAAAUCCGACAAUAAAAGUCCCGUGAAGAUACUGCAAAGGCAUAAAAAAAUCCCUCUUUGUUCUUUCGGGGGUAGUCAGAUUUCUAUUAGAGAACUCAUUUCACUCGUCGUCGCCUUACUCGUCCCCUCUCAGAACAGCCGAAUUCCGAGCUACGGACAAGCAACCAUUGCCUGGGCUACCUGUGAUUACAUUUGCGUUUCAAGAGUCACCUACGCGCGCGCUUAACAAAUACUCCGGUCGUUAAAUCAUGAUUCACUUACCAGCUCUAGCAAGAAGAAGUUCAAACUCAGUUUAAAGUUUAAGAACGCACUUUGAAUUGCUCGAGCAAUCGACACUAGGGCCACAAGGACCACCCACGCAAACAGCGUAAUCACAGGUAGUCAUGAUCAAGAAAAAUAUCAAGCAUCAUCUGAAUUACAAUUUUAUGCUUGCAGAUUUUAUAAGAAGCAGCCUCAUGUGAUCUCUUUGUGUUGCCCUAAAGCCUUUUGUGGCUAACGGAGGUGUUACUGUAACAGGAUGCCGCUUUGAGGGAGUGUGACAAUUCUUUUAGCUUAUGCCCUUAUGUCAACGAAGCAUGUUUCCUUGUGGUAUUUGUGUUUUAUUCUUCGAUUGGUGUUUCCUACGGUAUCUUUUUAAAAUAAUUUUGGCAUCAUUAAUAUGUUUUUUUAUAGAAUGAAGAACAUAAAAUAAGAAACAAUCUAGAAUAAAAACUGCAAGCCGACUAGUUGAACUAUUCUUUAUAUCGGGUUUCCUUUGCAAAUUCAUGCAUUCUCAUCUGGUAGACCGCUGAUCAGUUGUCAUCUGAAACCAGACUCGUGUUGUAGUACUUGACCUUUGCAUUGAAAUUAAUCUUACAAAUCGGCUUUUUCCCUAGAAACCUCUUGGCAGAAGUAACUUCCAAGGAUGAACCAAGACAAUUAUACUGCAUCUGAGAUUAGUAUACAGCAAGGGUAGAGUUUAUUUUCUGUGAUUUUUCUCCUGUACAAACAGGUAUGUGUAUCUAAUAAAGACGGCUGUCAAGAAAA